rfam:Homo sapiens chromosome 11, GRCh38 reference primary assembly.
GCCGGGCAUGGUGGUGCAUGCCUGUAAUCCCAGCUACUCAGGAGGCUGAGGCAGGAGAAUCGCUUGAACACAGGAGGCGGGGGUUGCAGUGAGCAGAGAUCGAGCCACUGCACUCCAGCCUGGGUGACAAAGGGAGACUCUGUUUCAA